ACUAUACCUUCUCCAUUUAAACAUUUAAAACCCUAACACUAUGUUCGCGAGUCUCAUUUAACAGGGGAAGGUGAAAGAAAAUUCUCUCCUAAUCUCUCCAAUUUGGGAGGAUGAAUAUAUGGUCAUAUUUGGUCAUAUUUUCUUUCCUUUUCCCUCCCCUCCCCUGUUAAAUGAGACUUGUGAACAGAGUGUAAAUCCUCAAAUUUGCACCACUUCUGAACUAAAUACCCAAAUUCUUCCAAAUUCCGAUCGUGUCGCGGAAAAAAAAUCUAGUGGAUCGUCAAUCAUCUGGAGCAUCUUUCAACGGUCAAUUUCAUCGUCCGGUAAGUUCCGUUCCUUCACAAUCUCAUCAUCAUCGUCCUCUGCCUUUUUUUUCCGACGAGAUCCACAUCUCCGACGAGAAUCCAAUGUCACAUGCAGUUCCGAACCCUUACUCUCUCUCUCUCUCUCUCUCUCUCUCUCUCUAAGCCACCAGAACCAACGACGACACACCACAACGUACUCACCGGAGCUUCGUCCGCCAGAAAAUCCACCGAUCCAAUCGUCUCUGCAUAACCGUCUCCGUACAGUCGACCAAAACUCAAAAGUUCUAUGGAAACAAUGGAAACACCUGUUUUGGAGGUCCGAAGCGAAACAAAACAAACGCUUGUAGCGGAAUUAGGGCAAAAUGUUGAUGAAAUAGUCGUGAAAGUUGGUGAGGUCUAGCAGAGUUUAAGGAGCUUUUCGGGACCUUUACGGGUCACCGGGACGAAAAACGAACUAACGGGCCGCGAAACGAGUCAACCGGACUCAAGAAAUGAAAAAAAAAACAGAAAGAUGGGAUUCCAGACACCGUCACCGACGCCCACAUGGACCGUCGCCGACGGUAUGUGUAAAGCUCCGUAGUCCGUUUUGUCCGUAGACAGCAAGUUUGGCCGUCGGCCAUAUCAACAAAAGCAUGCACCGUCGCCGACGGGGCUUCAGGCCGUCGGCGACGGCUCCCCUAUCUUGCAAACGCGAAAUUGUUGACUUUUUGGGUUUUGGACGAAUCAAAACAUGGGGGUCAUCAUUAUGGAGUUACACAUCCUUGGAGUUUUUGAAAGUGAUCUUGGAGCCAAGACCAACAAUUUAACAUCACCAAUUCACCAUCCAUCAUCACUAUCACCCGAAUCAUAAUCCGAAUCAUCACCAUCUUUCACAAUCAUCAAUCCAUCACUAACCCUAAUCACCUAUACAUGAUCUCUAUCAUCAUCAUUCACCAAAACCCUCAACAUCCAUCACUUCCCCAUCAUUCAAGCUUCAAGAUUUUCCAAGUCAUGUCCCAAUCAUCCGGUGAUCGAGUUUCUUCACCCGGUGUAGGUAGUUGUUAAAUUUAGGGUUUUGAAUUGUUCUUGAUUCAACUUUGUGACAACUUGUAUUGAUUUUUGAAACCUUUGACAAUAGUUUACAUUUGUUUCGUA